rnacentral:rRNA from 1 species
UACGUAUGGAGCGAGCGUUGUCCGGAAUUAUUGGGCGUAAAGGGUGCGCAGGCGGCUUUACAAGUUGGAUGUGAAAUAUUGUGGCUCAACCACAAACGUGCAUCCAAAACUGCAAAGCUUGAGUUAAGGAGAGGUAAGUGGAAUUCCUGGUGUAGCGGUGGAAUGCGUAGAUAUCAGGAGGAAUACCGGUGGCGAAGGCGACUUACUGGACUUAAACUGACGCUCAGGCACGAAAGCGUGGGGAGCAAACAGGAUUAGAUACCCUGGUAGUC